AUUGAACGCUGGCGGCAGGCUUAACACAUGCAAGUCGAGCGAGCGGCGGACGGGUGAGUAAUGUCUGGGAAACUGCCUGAUGGAGGGGGAUAACUACUGGAAACGGUAGCUAAUACCGCAUACCAUCAGAUGUGCUCAGAGGGGAUUAGCUAGUAGGUGGGGUAAUGGCUCCCCUAGGCGACGAUCCAUAGCUGGUCUGAUAGGAUGACCAGCCACACUGGAACGGAGACACGGUCCAGACUCCUACGUGAGGCAUCAGUGGGGAAUAUUGCACAAUGGGCGCAAGCCUGAUGCAGCCAUGCACAGUGUUGGAAGAAGGCCUUCGGGUUGUAAAGCACUUUCAGCGAGGAGGCGUUACGCGCAGAAGAAGCACCGGCUAACUCCGUGCCAGCAGCCGCGGUAAUAC
rnacentral:rRNA from 1 species